GACGAACGCUGGCGGCGUGCUUAACACAUGCAAGUCGAACGGAAAGGCCCCUUUGGGGGUACUCGAGUGGCGAACGGGUGAGUAACACGUGAGUAACCUGCCCUUGACUUCGGGAUAACUUCAGGAAACUGGGGCUAAUACCGGAUAGGAAUCCUUGCUGCAUGGUGGGGGUUGGAAAGCUUCGGCGGUUUUGGAUGGACUCGCGGCUUAUCAGCUUGUUGGUGGGGUAGUGGCUUACCAAGGCUUUGACGGGUAGCCGGCCUGAGAGGGCGACCGGCCACAUUGGGACUGAGAUACGGCCCAGACUCCUACGGGAGGCAGCAGUGGGGAAUAUUGCACAAUGGGCGGAAGCCUGAUGCAGCAACGCCGCGUGCGGGAUGACGGCCUUCGGGUUGUAAACCGCUUUCAGCAGGGGCGAAGCUUGUGGUGACGGUACCUGCAGAAGAAGCACCGGCUGACUACGUG
rnacentral:rRNA from 1 species